GUUAAAAUAUCGGUUCCCGUACGAUCACCGAAGAUAAGCAACGUUGAGCCUGGUCAGUACCUAGGUGGGUGACGGCUUGGAAAUACUAGGUGCU